UUACCAUGAGGGGUCAGCAGAUUUUGGCCCCCACUGCGCCGAUCUUUCACAAUGCUUUUGUAGACCUCUGAAUGUGAAGGCUUUUAGCAGCCAACCUCAGAGAGGAAAAGUCUGGUGGCUUUACAUGUAGCCGAGAGACUAAAACGGUUUCCGGUUUUGCUGCUGUUGCUGCCUGGCAGAGAAGAGGGAGACGCAGAGUCAAGCUUCUUACUGAGACACUUGAGUGUAGCCUUUGUCGGGUCAUCUGUCUCUGUAGCUGCUGCUUUGGAAGAAAAGGUUUGGCGGCUUUGCUAGUAGCCAAGUGACGGAAACUGUUCCUGAUUUUGUUGCUGUUGCGGCCUGGCAGAGAAGGUGGAGACCUGGAGUCAGGCGUCUUACGGAGGUGGUCACAUCUGGCUGCUGUUAUGUGGAUUGCUCUUGCCCUUUGGUCAGAGAUGAAGUUUACUGGCCAUUUCCUGUAUCCUGCCAACUAUCUCACAGCCUCAGCCUGGACAACCUCUGAAGUUACACACAGAUCACAAUGGAGUAAGCCAACAUUGUUACAGAGGGAAGA